AGUUUGAUCCUGGCUCAGGAUGAACGCUAGCUACAGGCUUAACACAUGCAAGUCGAGGGGCAGCAUUGGAGUAGCAAUACUUCAGAUGGCGACCGGCGCACGGGUGAGUAACACGUAUCCAACCUGCCGCUUACUCGGGGAUAGCCUUUCGAAAGAAAGAUUAAUACCCGAUGGUAUAAAGAGUUCGCAUGUUCUCUUUAUUAAAGAAUUUCGGUAAGCGAUGGGGAUGCGUUCCAUUAGAUAGUUGGCGGGGUAACGGCCCACCAAGUCUACGAUGGAUAGGGGUUCUGAGAGGAAGGUCCCCCACAUUGGAACUGAGACACGGUCCAAACUCCUACGGGAGGCAGCAGUGAGGAAUAUUGGUCAAUGGACGAGAGUCUGAACCAGCCAAGUAGCGUGAAGGAUGACUGCCCUAUGGGUUGUAAACUUCUUUUAUAAGGGAAUAAAGUGAGGGACGUGUCCCUUUUUGUAUGUACCUUAUGAAUAAGGAUCGGCUAACUCCGUGCCAGCAGCCGCGGUAAUACGGAGGAUCCGAGCGUUAUCCGGAUUUAUUGGGUUUAAAGGGAGCGUAGGUUGACGUAUAAGUCAGCUGUGAAAGUUUACGGCUCAACCGUGAAAUUGCAGUUGAUACUGUAUGUCUUGAGUGUACAAGAGGUGGGCGGAAUUCGUGGUGUAGCGGUGAAAUGCUUAGAUAUCACGAAGAACUCCAAUUGCGAAGGCAGCUCACUGGGGUACAACUGACACUGAGGCUCGAAAGUGUGGGUAUCAAACAGGAUUAGAUACCCUGGUAGUCCACACAGUAAACGAUGAAUACUCGCUGUUUGCGAUAUACAGUAAGCGGCCAAGCGAAAGCAUUAAGUAUUCCACCUGGGGAGUACGCCGGCAACGGUGAAACUCAAAGGAAUUGACGGGGGCCCGCACAAGCGGAGGAACAUGUGGUUUAAUUCGAUGAUACGCGAGGAACCUUACCCGGGCUUGAAUUGCAGAGGAACAUAGUUGAAAGAUUAUGGCCGCAAGGUCUCUGUGAAGGUGCUGCAUGGUUGUCGUCAGCUCGUGCCGUGAGGUGUCGGCUUAAGUGCCAUAACGAGCGCAACCCUUAUCAUUAGUUACUAACAGGUCAUGCUGAGGACUCUAGUGAGACUGCCGUCGUAAGAUGUGAGGAAGGUGG
rnacentral:rRNA from 1 species